AUGACGAUUGACGUUAUUGGUCAAAGCCGACAGAAAAGACAGAAUCACUAGACCAGAAGUGCUACGCUUGUGACCGGCUUGUCGAUAAUUUACGUCUUGUAAGCGUGUGUGGUCGGAUGUGCUCGAUAAAAUUCAAAACAAAAUUGUGAUACUUAAAUGUCUACUGGCAAUUUAUAGUUACGGCAGUUACAUGAAUUGUUCCUGUGAACACGACCCUAUUCCAGGAAGUGAACAUUGGUGAACGUUAAUUAUUAGCCCAUUUGUCGCUUCCUCGUGUUGCCGGGAAGGAAGACCCACUGGUUGAUUUCGCUCCUGUUUAUAAGUUCCCUGCAGCACAAACCAAAUCGGAGAAGUUGACGCCUGUGAACAUUAAUCGUCAGCCUAUUUGUUGCCGCAAUGGAAGAAUCGCUGGACGCUUCGUUGCCGGUCGACACGGCUAUGGCGAGCUGGAGAGGUCUUCAGCAGCAGCAGCAGUCACCGGCGGCCGCGGACUCGACCACACCCACCCGCAGUGUCACUCCCACUGCGGCCGCUUCACCACGCGCCGCAGUGGUCUGCAGAACUGCCUGCCUCUCGCUGUCCCUCACAUCUCUGUUCACUCUGGGGACCGGCAGGAGCUUUGCGGCACCCUGUCUGUUGUAUCCUGCCGCUAUGUGGAGGCCGCCCUGCUGCCACUUGUUCUGCAUGUUGACAUCGGCCCCCGACUGCGGCAGAAUUCCGCUGUACAGUGCGGUGGAGUGUAGCCGCGUUCGCGCCGGUUGUUCGCGUCUGUUCCCCUGGCAGAGACCUCGAGGACUUUGGCCGCGUCUCCGUUCCCUGUGCAUUUUGAAUCUGCUUCUCGAUGUCUUGCUCCUUUGCCGUAUUAUUUUCCACGGAAAUGUGUUGCCGCAGUGGAAAAUCUGAAAGUCUUUAUAACCGUGCCAAUUACGCGCUAAAAACCCAGUACUGUGAGCAGCGUGUAAGACUUGACAACUUGGUCCAGUAUGGGGAAGGAGAUUUUGAGGUUAAACAGAAUUACUUGACAACAUUUGUAGAACUGAAAGUAAUGUCAGAGGGUGGUGUUCCACAUUACAUCUGACUUGGGAAGCACCCUACAAAAUCCCCUGUUCAGGGUUACCUUUGCUAACCCAGAAAACUAAUUUUUGGCAGGCCACGUAUUUGAGGCAUAUCCUGUAAUUUUAAUGUGCGGAAUUUCAAAUUGAACUGUGGCCUCGGGCGUAGAUCCUUAAGCGGGGAUUUGCAUAUUAUUUAAUGUGAUUGAAGAUAUCUGAGUAAAACAAAUUUUCAUUUCAACAU